rnacentral:rRNA from 1 species
CAAGUCGAGGGGCAGCAUGAAGUUUGCUUGCAAACUUUGAUGGCGACCGGCGCACGGGUGAGUAACGCGUAUCCAACCUUCCCUAUAGUAGAGAAUAGCCCGGCGAAAGUCGGAUUAAUGCUCUAUGUUAUUCAAAGCGGACAUCUAAUUUGAAUCAAAGGUUCACCGCUAUAGGAUGGGGAUGCGUCUGAUUAGCUUGAUGGCGGGGUAACGGCCCACCAUGGCGACGAUCAGUGGGGGUUCUGAGAGGAAGGUCCCCCACAUUGGAACUGAGACACGGUCCAAACUCCUACGGGAGGCAGCAGUGAGGAAUAUUGGUCAAUGGGCGAGAGCCUGAACCAGCCAAGUAGCGUGCAGGAUGACGGCCCUAUGGGUUGUAAACUGCUUUUAUGCGGGGAUAAAGUCGGCUACGCGUAGCCGUUUGUAGGUACCGCAUGAAUAAGGACCGGCUAAUUCCGUGCCAGCAGCCGCGGUAAUACGGAAGGUCCGGGCGUUAUCCGGAUUUAUUGGGUUUAAAGGGAGCGCAGGCCGGAGGUCAAGCGUGACGUGAAAUGUAGCCGCUCAACGGCUGAGUUGCGUCGCGAACUGGUUUCCUUGAGUGAGUACGACGUCAGCGGAAUUCGUGGUGUAGCGGUGAAAUGCUUAGAUAUCACGAAGAACCCCGAUUGCGAAGGCAGCUGACGAGUCCUUUACUGACGCUAAAGCUCGAAGGUGCGGGUAUCGAACAGGAUUAGAUACCCUGGUAGUCCGCACGGUAAACGAUGGAUGCCCGCUGUUUGCGAUAUAUUGUAAGCGGCCAAGCGAAAGCGUUAAGCAUCCCACCUGGGGAGUACGCCGGCAACGGUGAAACUCAAAGGAAUUGACGGGGGCCCGCACAAGCGGAGGAACAUGUGGUUUAAUUCGAUGAUACGCGAGGAACCUUACCCGGGCUUGAACUGCAGGAGAACGAUCCAGAGAUGGUGAGGCCCUUCGGGGCUCCUGUGGAGGUGCUGCAUGGUUGUCGUCAGCUCGUGCCGUGAGGUGUCGGCUUAAGUGCCAUAACGAGCGCAACCCCUUUCGCCAGUUGCCAUCAGGUGAUGCUGGGCACUCU